CUCAGCAGGAAUUCGUCCCUAGCUGCCUCCAAAAGCUAUGACUCAGAGGAGUGAUGUGACCUGCUCAAGGUUGCUCCACCGAAGAGGCAAGACCCACAGGACUCUGGUCUCCUGUUUCAGCUCUCUUCCUACGUGCCGGGCCACCAAGGCCGGGCUGCAAGGCAUAGAAAGAGGAAGGAGACCAUCCCCACCCCUAGAGACAGCCUGGAAGUUGCAUCAAAUCAAAGCCAAAAUAUGGCAGAAGCAGAAGUAAUAAUAAGCUCUCAUCAAGGAUUUCCACAUACACACUGGUCACUGUCUUUUCUCUACUUACAUCAUCUCGUUUCAUCUCUGGAAUGAUCCAGUCCCAUGCAUGACUGUGAGGUACUCUGAUCAGCGCCUAUUUUACUCCCGAGGAAACAGGCUCAGAGCAGUGUCGUCACUUGCCCGAGGCAGCACAGCUGGUAAGUGGCAGAGCUGAGACCCCAAGAGCCUGAACACUUAGCCACUGUGCCCCACGGCGUUGCCCCCGAAAUGAUGUGGAAACCAGAAAUGAAAAGCAACUUGGCCAAGGGGACGGAGCCCAAGCCAGCUUCAAGGUACAAAUCUGCCAUCUCUGGUCCUUUGGAAGCUGCAACAGCGCCCGCCUCUCCCACCUCAAGGGCAGGCUGGGCGAAGGUGGAAGCAGGAAACUUUCCAGGGACGCAGUUCCUCCCCGUUCUCCCGAAGGACCAGCCCAGAGGAGACGUCCUUCUCUGCCUCUGCGUCUCCAAGGGGGACCCUGGAGGGAAUGCAGACUCUGCUCUCUUCACCCAGAGCAGAUGGUCUAAGACAGAAGAGCAGGAACCCUCACAGAUCCACGCGCUUCCUCCUGACAGGAUCCACCGUUUAGAUGCAGGUCAAACAGGAGACAUCUCCACCAGAAAGAACAGUGAGUCUGAGACAGCGAUGCAGAGAGUUUCGUAAUGGAAUGCUGUCACGUGAACAAUCAGCCAGGGCCCUUUAAGCAAGCAGCUCAUUGUCUGAGAGGAGAGAGAAGUGAGUGAGAAAGGGACGGGCUGCUUCGAAAGGGGGCUGAAACAGGAGUGUGGGGAGGUGAGUCUGCUGCGUCAGAACCCUGUCAUUGUCACCUCGCUGAUGCCCAAGCUCUCUCGCCUUCAUCCAUUUUACCCAGCACCUACUACGCAGCAGGUGCUUUUCACACAUGACCUCAUCUAACCCUUGCCACGAUCCCUGAGUUCAGACACCUAGGCACAUGGCAAAGGUUAAGUAGCCA
rnacentral:lncRNA from 1 species